CUUAAGGCAUGUGUUUUAAUCAACUUUUAAAUAUCAUCUUUGAGUUUUUUUCUUUCUGAUUUGUGAGAUAUAUGCUCUUUCACGCAGCCCCUUGCUGGUUUAUCGUCUCGCUUGGCUUCCGCACACAGGGCCGUCAGUUACUGGGGAGCAGCAAAGAAGCACUGUCCAGAGGAGCAGAGCGCAGAGCUGGGGACUUGGUGUAUCCACAGCAGAAUUCCAGAUAACAUUCCUGCGUUAGGAGAAUGCAGUAGGAGAGUUUCACCAGAGCGCCUCAUCAUGUCUGCUUAUCCUUCAGGCAGGUGGCACCACAGAUUCCAGACUUCGGCACGGUGAUAUUUUCUCCUCCUGGAAGUUCCAGUGCCAUGAGUGCAGCCUGUCCACCCCAUGCAGCCAUUCCUUUGAUGUCUUACUCAACAAGAUUUGCAUUCCAGCUUUUCCCAGAGCCUACCGACCAUCUUUUCAAUUUGGGGACUUUCUCCUUUUCAAAACUGACUUGUGAGAAACAGGCUAGGAGAAAAUGCUGUUUGCAAGCAACAUCUGCUUUUUACCCCAGAACACACAUCUUCCCUGAACGCAAAGAUCUAACUUGGAAAAACAAAGUGAACAAAAUCCAAAUGAUUGGAAAGGUUAAGUCUUUCAACUUCUCAAGGUGGCUUAGUUUCCCCAUUUGUAAGUUGGGGGAAAUAUCGUUGUGAGAUUGGUUUAUGAGUGUUUAGCCCAGUGCAUGUAACGGCAAUCACUCAAUAAUGGUACAUGUUAUUAUUUGCAAUAGGCUUGUUUUAGCUGCCUGAUGACCCUUCGUCUGUGAUCGGCACAUACUCCUUUUGAGGGAAUGGCUCUUCCCCAACUGUCCUAGACAAAUGAAUCCAAAAGGAGCUCCCACCUUAUGAGCUGGCUAAAGGAUGGCUAAUAGUA